CAGAAACUUAAAGGAAGUUGACGGGGCCCGGCACAAGCGGUGGAGCAUGUGGUUUAAUUCGAUGAUACGCGAGGAACCUUACCUGGGCUCAAAUGUAUGUUGACGUAUUCUGAAAGGGAUACUUCUUCGGACAAUAUACAAGGUGCUGCAUGGUUGUCGUCAGCUCGUGCCGUGAGGUGUCGGGUUAAGUCCCAUAACGAGCGCAACCCCUAUCAUUAGUUGCCAUCAGGUCAAGCUGGGGACUCUAAUGAAACUGCCUACGCAAGUAGUGAGGAAGGUGGGGAUGACGUCAAAUCAGCACGGCCCUUACGUCCAGGGCUACACACGUGCUACAAUGGCCGGUACAAAGGGCAGCUACCUGGUGACAGGAUGCUAAUCUCAAAAGCCGGUCUCAGUUCGGAUCGGAGUCUGCAACUCGACUUCAUGAAGCUGGAAUCGCUAGUAAUCGCAGAUCAGCCAAGCUGCGGUGAAUACGUUCCCGGGCCUU
rnacentral:rRNA from 1 species